rnacentral:rRNA from 1 species
UACGGAGGGGGCAAGCGUUGUUCGGAAUUACUGGGCGUAAAGCGCGCGUAGGCGGACCUGCAAGUCGGGGAUGAAAGCCCGAGGCUUAACCUCGGAACUGCCUUCGAUACUGCGGGUCUCGAGUCCGGGAGAGGUGAGUGGAAUUCCUAGUGUAGAGGUGAAAUUCGUAGAUAUUAGGAAGAACACCAGUGGCGAAGGCGGCUCACUGGCCCGGUACUGACGCUGAGGCGCGAAAGCGUGGGGAGCAAACAGG